rnacentral:rRNA from 1 species
AACGCGAAGAACCUUACCUACUCUUGACAUCCACGGAAUUUGGCAGAGAUGCCUUAGUGCCUUCGGGAACCGUGAGACAGGUGCUGCAUGGCUGUCGUCAGCUCGUGUUGUGAAAUGUUGGGUUAAGUCCCGCAACGAGCGCAACCCUUAUCCUUUGUUGCCAGCGAUUCGGUCGGGAACUCAAAGGAGACUGCCGGUGAUAAACCGGAGGAAGGUGGGGAUGACGUCAAGUCAUCAUGGCCCUUACGAGUAGGGCUACACACGUGCUACAAUGGCGCAUACAAAGAGAAGCGAUCUCGCGAGAGCAAGCGGACCUCACAAAGUGCGUCGUAGUCCGGAUCGGAGUCUGCAACUCGACUCCGUGAAGUCGGAAUCGCUAGUAAUCGUGGAUCAGAAUGCCACGGUGAAUACGUCCCCGGGGCUUGUACACACCG